rnacentral:rRNA from 1 species
UACGUGGGGGGCAAGCGUUAUCCGGAAUCAUUGGGCGUAAAGCGCGUGUAGGCGGUUCCGUAAGUCCGCUCUGAAAGCCCAGGGCUCAACCCUGGGAGGCGGGUGGAUACUACGGAACUGGAGUACGGAAGAGGAGAUUGGAAUUCCUGGUGUAGCGGUGGAAUGCGCAGAUAUCAGGAGGAACACCGGUGGCGAAGGCAGAUCUCUGGGCCGUAACUGACGCUGAGGAGCGAAAGCAUGGGGAGCGAACAGG